UCACAGGGUAUCGGCCAAUCAAUCGUGCGCGCUCGGCUGUCUCCGCCGGCGCUCGGCAAACUCCGCCACAGCUGACGCGAACUGUUGCUAUGUGCAUUUCCCAUGGCGCAAAGCGGACAUGUGCGGUAGAAAGCAGUAUAUUGCUGAUUAUUGUUUUGCUCAUUUAAAGGAAUUGGCGUGCAAUCAUAGAAAAGGCACUACAUGUUUCGUGACACCCUUCCUAAAGCAUGCAAAUAAAGAACAGAUCAAUAAAACAACAAACGCAAAGGAAAAUCCAAAAAUUCGAUUUCCCAAACAAAGAAAAGCUGACUACGCGUGAAAAUGUCCUAAAAACUCCUGUGCCGCAACCCGCUAAACGAGCCUACGUGACCGAAGCAGUGUACCGACGCACACACGAGCAACUAACAGCUCAUCGACACGGACAUACACUCACACAGACGCGCAUGCGGUUAAGUCCUCGCGCGGCGACGACACAGCGCAAGCGACAUCGACCUUCACAAAGAAAUAUACACAUCCGUCGUCUUUAUUGCUUAGCGGAUAAGGUCGAAUAUAAAAAGUAAUGUUGUAAGGAUGUUACGGCAGUUCAGUUUCGGCGCAGGUAAUAGCCCCGUUGCGCUAGCGAGUGCAUUUAUGGCAGCGUUCGCGAGUUGCCAACCUUUUUACUUUAUUUUUUCUAUUAUUUAUGUGAGAAUAACUGUUACGAUGAGUUUAAUAAUACAUUGUUGAUUGAAAUGAUAUAAAUGCGUUUGUUUUGUUAUGUAGUCCACUUGAUAUCUUUGCUCCGAAAUGUUUUCGUUUGAUAAAUAAAUUAGCAUAAUAAUCUGA